UUGAACGCUGGCGGCAUGCUUUACACAUGCAAGUCGAACGGCAGCGCGGGCUUCGGCCUGGCGGCGAGUGGCGAACGGGUGAGUAAUACAUCGGAACGUGCCCAGUAGUGGGGGAUAGCUCGGCGAAAGCCGGAUUAAUACCGCAUACGACCUGAGGGUGAAAGCGGGGGAUCUUCGGACCUCGCGCUAUUGGAGCGGCCGAUGGCAGAUUAGCUAGUUGGUGGGGUAAAGGCCUACCAAGGCGACGAUCUGUAGCUGGUCUGAGAGGACGACCAGCCACACUGGGACUGAGACACGGCCCAGACUCCUACGGGAGGCAGCAGUGGGGAAUUUUGGACAAUGGGCGAAAGCCUGAUCCAGCAAUGCCGCGUGUGUGAUGAAGGCCUUCGGGUUGUAAAGCACUUUUGGCGGGAACGAAAAGGACUGUGCCAAUACCACGGUUCGAUGACGGUACCCGCAGAAUAAGCACCGGCUAACUACGU
rnacentral:rRNA from 1 species